UAACAAAACACUUUCUCUCACUAUUUUCUGUUAAUCUUAGCGUUUCAAUUUUCUCGUAUAGGCUUUAUCUAUUUACUGUCAUGAUUAUGUUUUCCUGUCGUAAUUUAGCGUUUAGAACUAAUCAAAUUUGGAGGAUUGGAAGGGAAGAGAAGAUGAGUUUCAUUAUGGAAUUCGCGGAGAACUUGAUUUUGAGGAUUAUGGAAGAUCCGAAGGAGAGGGAUCGUAGGUUCAGGGAGCACGUUUAUAAAGUGAAGAAGAGGUGCGAGAAGACGAAGGAGAUGUGGAGCUACCCAAUGCGACCCUAUGGUUUUUGGACAUUCGAACGCCACAAUUCUCAGCUUGCAUGGGAUGCCCAAAUUAGGCAUGUGGCUGGGAGAAGGGAUCCUUAUGAUGAUCUCCUCCAACAUUACUCUACCCCACCUCAAUGAGUGUUGCUGAACUUGCCACAAGCAUUAUAGGUGCAAAAAGAUGAAGUUGUCAUAUUUCCCCCUUUUAAUAUCCUGUCUUCUUGCAUGUUGUAUGUUGCAGAAGUUACAAAUGGUUUGUAUUGAUCUAAACUAUUAUUUCAAAUAAAGGUUCCGUAUAACUAUGGUGCUAAAACAAGAAUUUUCCCCUCGAGAAUUUACAUUCUUUCACUAUUGCACUUCCUGGCAAUUUUUCUGUUC